GGUGUUCCCUUGGUUGGGGUGUCCCCAUGUCAGGGUGUUGUCGGGGUGUCCCUUUGUUGGGGGAGGGGGGGGCCUCUUUGUUGGGGUGUCUCCUCAUUGACGUGUCCCAUAGUUGGGGUGUUCCCAUGUCAGGGUGUUGUCGGGGUGUCCCUUCGGUGGGGAGUCCCUCAGUUGGGGUGUUCUCUUGUAGGAGCGUCCCUUUAUUGGGGUUUCCCCUGGUCGGGGUGUCCCCUGGGUGGGGUGUCCCUCAGUGGGGGUGUUCUCUUGUCAGAGUGUCCCUUCCCUGGGGUGUCCCUUGGUUGGGGUAUCUCUUUGGUUGGGGUGUCCCCUGGGUGGGGUGUCCCCUGGUCGGGGUGUCCCUCAAUUGGGGUGCUGUCCCCAUGUCAGAGCGUCCCUUUAUUGGGGUGUCCCUGGGUGGGGUGUUGCCUGGUCGGGGUGUCCCUCAGUUGGGGUGUUCUCUUGUCAGAGUGUCCCUUCCUUGGGGUGUCCCCUGGGUGGGGUGUCCCUGGGUGGGGUGUCCAUCAGUUGGGGUGUUCUCUUGUCAGAGUGUCCCUUUAUUGGGGUGUCCCUUUAUUGGGGUGUCCCUGGGUGGGGUGUCCCUGGCUGGGGUGUCCCCUGGUUGGGUUGUCCUUCAGUUGGGGUGUUCUCUUGUCAGAGUGUCCCUUCCUUGGGGUGUCCCCUUCCUUGGGGUGUCCCCUGGGGGGGGUGUCCCUGGGUGGGGUGUCCAUCAGUUGGGGUGUUCUCUUGUCAGAGUGUCCCUUUAUUGGGGUGUCCCUUUAUUGGGGUGUCCCUGGGUGGGGUGUCCCUGGCUGGGGUGUCCCCUGGUUGGGUUGUCCUUCAGUUGGGGUGUUCUCUUGUCAGAGUGUCCCUUCCUUGGGGGUGUCCCUUCCUUGGGGUGUCCCUUUAUUGGGGCGUCCCUUGGGUGAGAUGUCCCCAUGUUGGGCUGUCCCCUGGUCGAUCUGUUCCCUCGUCGAGCUGUCCCCAUGGCAGUGCUGUCCCCAUGUCGGGGUGUCCCCAUGGCAGUGCCGUCCCCCCCCCCAGUCAGGCUGUGANNNNNNNNNNNNNNNNNNNNNNNNNNNNNNNNNNNNNNNNNNNNNN
rnacentral:lncRNA from 1 species